GAUGAACGCUAGCGGCAGGCUUAAUACAUGCAAGUCGAGGGACAGCACAGGUAGCAAUACUGGGUGGUAACCGGCAAACGGGUGCGGAACACGUACACAACCUUCCUUUAAGUGGGGGAUAGCCCAGAGAAAUUUGGAUUAAUACCCCGUAAUAUAGUUGAAUGGCAUCAUUUGAUUAUUAUAGCUACGGCGCUUAAUGAUGGGUGUGCGGCUGAUUAGAUAGUUGGCGGGGUAACGGCCCACCAAGUCUACGAUCAGUAGCUGAUGUGAGAGCAUGAUCAGCCACACGGGCACUGAGACACGGGCCCGACGCCUACGGGAGGCAGCAGUAAGGAAUAUUGGUCAAUGGACGCAAGUCUGAACCAGCCAUGCCGCGUGAAGGAUUAAGGUCCUCUGGAUUGUAAACUUCUUUUAUUUGGGACGAAAAAGGGCCUUUCUAGGUCAACUGACGGUACCAGAUGAAUCAGCACCGGCUAACUCCGUGCCAGCAGCCGCCGUAACAC
rnacentral:rRNA from 1 species